GAUGAAGAACGUAGUGAAAUGCGAUAAGUAAUGUGAAUUGCAGAAUUCAGUGAAUCAUCGAAUCUUUGAACGCACAUUGCGCCCGCCAGUAUUCUGGCGAGCAUGCCUGUUCGAGCGUCAUUUCAACCAUCAAGCCCCAGGCUUGUGUUGGAGCCCUGCGGCUGCCGCAGCCUCCCAAAACCAGUGGCGGGCUCGCUAUCACACCGAGUGCAGUAGUUUACUCUUCGCUCAGGGCGUGUGGCGGGUGCUAGCCGUGAAACCCCCAACUUCUCAAGGUUGACCUCGGAUCAGGUAGGAAUACCCGCUGAACUUAAGCAUAUCAAAAGCGGAGGA
rnacentral:misc_RNA from 1 species